AGCGAACGCUGGCGGCAGGCCUAACACAUGCAAGUCGAACGAACUCUUCGGAGUUAGUGGCGGACGGGUGAGUAACACGUGGGAACGUGCCUUUUGGUUCGGAAUAACUCAGGGAAACUUGUGCUAAUACCGAAUGUGCCCUUCGGGGGAAAGAUUUAUCGCCAUUAGAGCGGCCCGCGUCUGAUUAGCUAGUUGGCGAGGUAACGGCUCACCAAGGCGACGAUCAGUAGCUGGUCUGAGAGGAUGACCAGCCACACUGGGACUGAGACACGGCCCAGACUCCUACGGGAGGCAGCAGUGGGGAAUCUUGCGCAAUGGGCGAAAGCCUGACGCAGCCAUGCCGCGUGAAUGAUGAAGGUCUUAGGAUUGUAAAAUUCUUUCACCGGGGACGAUAAUGACGGUACCCGGAGAAGAAGCCCCGGCUAACUUCGUG
rnacentral:rRNA from 1 species